CGACGCUGGCGGGUGCUUAACACAUGCAAGUCGACUGAUGAACCACUUCGGUGCGGAUUAGUGGCGAACGGGUGAGUAACACGUGGGCAAUCUGCCCUUCACUCUGGGACAAGCCCUGGAAACGGGGUCUAAUACCGGAUACGACACUCUCGGGCAUCCGAUGAGUGUGGAAAGCUCCGGCGGUGAAGGAUGAGCCCGCGGCCUAUCAGCUUGUUGGUGAGGUAACGGCUCACCAAGGCGACGACGGGUAGCCGGCCUGAGAGGGCGACCGGCCACACUGGGACUGAGACACGGCCCAGACUCCUACGGGAGGCAGCAGUGGGGAAUAUUGCACAAUGGGCGAAAGCCUGAUGCAGCGACGCCGCGUGAGGGAUGACGGCCUUCGGGUUGUAAACCUCUUUCAGCAGGGAAGAAGCGAAAGUGACGGUACCUGCAGAAGAAGCGCCGGCUAACUACGUGCCAGCAGCCGCGGUAAUACGUACGGCGCGAGCGUUGUCCGGAAUUAUUGGGCGUAAAGAGCUCGUAGGCGGUCUGUCGCGUCGGAUGUGAAAGCCCGGGGCUUAACCCCGGGUCUGCAUUCGAUACGGGCACACUAGAGUGUGGUAGGGGAGAUCGGAAUUCCUGGUGUAGCGGUGAAAUGCGCAGAUAUCAGGAGGAACACCGGUGGCGAAGGCGGAUCUCUGGGCAUUAC
rnacentral:rRNA from 1 species